rnacentral:rRNA from 1 species
GAUGAACGCUGGCGGCGUGCCUAAUACAUGCAAGUCGAGCGAAUGGAUUAAGAGCUUGCUCUUAUGAAGUUAGCGGCGGACGGGUGAGUAACACGUGGGUAACCUGCCCAUAAGACUGGGAUAACUCAGGGAAACCGGGGCAAAUACCGGAUAACAUUUGGAACCGCAGGGUUCGAAAUUAAAAGGCGGCUUCGGCUUUAACUACGGGAUGGACCCGCGUCGCAUUAGCUAGUUGGUGAGGUAACGGCUCACCAAGGCAACGAUGCGUAGCCGACCUGAGAGGGUGAUCGGCCACACUGGGACUGAGACACGGCCCAGACUCCUACGGGAGGCAGCAGUAGGGAAUCUUCCGCAAUGGACGAAAGUCUGACGGAGCAACGCCGCGUGAGUGAUGAAGGCUUUCGGGUCGUAAAACUCUGUUGUCAGGGAAGAACAAGUGCUAGUUGAAUAAGCUGGCACCUUGACGGUACCUAACCAGAAAGCCACGGCUAACUACGUGCCAGCAGCCGCCGUAA